rnacentral:lncRNA from 1 species
AUAAAACGCAUGGUCUCUUCCUACGUAGGAGAAAAUGCCGAAUUUGAACGGCAGUUCUUAUCUGGUGAAUUAGAAGUGGAGCUGACACCUCAGGGCACACUUGCAGAGAGGAUUCGUGCAGGUGGUGCUGGAGUUCCUGCGUUUUACACCAGCACAGGGUAUGGGACCCUGGUUCAAGAAGGGGGAGCACCCAUCAAAUACAACAAAGAUGGCAGCAUCGCUAUUGCCAGUAAGC